rnacentral:rRNA from 1 species
UACGUAGGGGGCAAGCGUUGUCCGGAUUUAUUGGGCGUAAAGAGCGUGUAGGCGGCUAGAUAGGUCCGUUGUGAAAACUCGAGGCUCAACCUCGAGACGUCGAUGGAAACCAUCUGGCUAGAGUCCGGAAGAGGAGAGUGGAAUUCCUGGUGUAGCGGUGAAAUGCGGAGAUAUCAGGAGGAACACCGGUGGCGAAGGCGGAUCUCUGGGCCAUUACUGACGCUGAGGAGCGAAAGCGUGGGGAGCAAACAGGG